rfam:Drosophila ananassae strain TSC#14024-0371.13 Ctg01_9876, whole genome shotgun sequence.
CCAAACGUCCUUUUCAGGACGACCACACUUUUUCAAAAGAAUAUAA